rnacentral:rRNA from 1 species
GACGAACGCUGGCGGCGUGCCUAAUACAUGCAAGUCGAACGCAGUGGGGACGGGUGAGUAACACGUGGGUAACCUCCCAUCAGAGGGGAUAACACUUGGAUACAGGUGCUAAACCGCUACUGGUGGAUGGACCCGCGGUGCAUUAGCUUGUUGGUGAGGUAACGGCUCACCAAGGCCACGAUGCCUAGCCGGCCUGAGAGGAGGAUCGGCCACACUGGAACGGAGACACGGCCCAGACUCCUACGGGAGGCAGCAGUAGGGAAUCUUCGGCAAUGGGCGAAAGUCUGACCGAGCAACGCCGCGUGAGUGAAGAAGGUUUUCGGAUCGUAAAGCUCUGUUGUUAGAGAAGCGGUAUCUAACCAGAAAGCCACGGCUAACUACGUGCCAGCAGCCGCGGUAAUAC